UACAGAGGUGGCAAGCGUUGUUCGGAAUUACUGGGCGUAAAGGGCUCGUAGGUGGCCAACUAAGUCAGACGUGAAAUCCCUCGGCUUAACCGGGGAACUGCGUCUGAUACUGGAUGACUUGAGUUUGGGAGAGGGACGCGGAAUUCCAGGUGUAGCGGUGAAAUGCGUAGAUAUCUGGAGGAACACCGGUGGCGAAGGCGGCGUCCUGGACCAACACUGACACUGAUGAGCGAAAGCCAGGGGAGCAAACGGG
rnacentral:rRNA from 1 species